rnacentral:rRNA from 1 species
UACGUAGGGAGCAAGCGUUGUUCGGAAUUACUGGGCGUAAAGGGCGCGUAGGCGGCCUGCUAAGUCGGACGUGAAAUCCCUCGGCUCAACCGAGGAACUGCGUCCGAUACUGGUGGGCUUGAGUCCGGGAGAGGGAUGUGGAAUUCCAGGUGUAGCGGUGAAAUGCGUAGAUAUCUGGAGGAACACCGGUGGCGAAGGCGGCAUCCUGGACCGGUAUUGACGCUGAGGCGCGAAAGCUAGGGGAGCAAACGGG